rnacentral:lncRNA from 1 species
GAAAAUUGCUUGUUCAAUGGUAAUGAUCCAAAAUGACCUAUAAUGUUUCCUCUUGGUACUUUCCCUUGCAAGUUAAAUUUGAAGUUUCUCAAAGAAUCAAAGUUGUAUAAGACGUAUUGAAAUUGAUCAUUAAACUUGGAUAGCCUUCAUCUUAUAAUAAUUGAGCAAGUUAUGGUCCUUGGAAGUUGACCUCCUAACUAGGGCACAAACAAAAUGACCAAUAAUCUUUCACCAUAAAAAAUGACU